UACGGAGGGUGCAAGCGUUGUCCGGAUUUAUUGGGUUUAAAGGGUGCGUAGGCGGUUUGGUAAGUCGGCGAUGAAAGCCCGGGGCUCAACCCCGGAACUGUCGUCGAUACUGUCGAACUUGAAUAAGGUGGAGGCUGGCGGAAUGGGCGGUGUAGCGGUGAAAUGCAUAGAUACCGUCCAGAACCCCGAUUGCGAAGGCAGCUGGCUGUACCUUUAUUGACGCUGAGGCACGAAAGCGUGGGGAGCGAACAGG
rnacentral:rRNA from 1 species